rnacentral:rRNA from 1 species
UACGAAGGGGGCUAGCGUUGCUCGGAAUGACUGGGCGUAAAGGGCGCGUAGGCGGAUGGCAUAGUCAGAUGUGAAAUUCCUGGGCUUAACCUGGGAGCUGCGUUUGAUACAUGUGAGCUAGAGGAUGGAAGAGGCUCGUGGAAUUCCCAGUGUAGAGGUGAAAUUCGUAGAUAUUGGGAAGAACACCGGUGGCGAAGGCGGCGAGCUGGUCCAUUACUGACGCUGAGGCGCGAAAGCGUGGGGAGCAAACAGG